AUUGAACGCUGGCGGCAGGCCUAACACAUGCAAGUCGAGCGCGAGGCGGACGGGUGAGUAAUGUGUGGGAAACUGCCUGAUGGGGGGGGGUAACAACUGGAAACGGUAGAUAAUACCGCAUACCAUAAGAUAUGACCAGAUGGGAGUAGAUAGUAGGUGGGGUAACGGCUCACCUAGGCGACGAUCCCUAGCUGGUCUGAGAGGAUGACCAGCCACACUGGAACUGAGACACGGUCCAGACUCCUACGGGAGGCAGCAGUGGGGAAUAUUGCACAAUGGGCGCAAGCCUGAUGCAGCCAUGCCGCGUGUGUGAAGAAGGCCUUCGGGUUGUAAAGCACUUUCAGCGGGGAGGCGUUACCCGCAGAAGAAGCACCGGCUAACUCCGUGCCAGCAGCCGCGGUAAUUC
rnacentral:rRNA from 1 species